rnacentral:rRNA from 1 species
CCUACGGGAGGCAGCAGUAGGGAAUAUUGCUCAAUGGGGGAAACCCUGAAGCAGCAACGCCGCGUGGAGGAUGAAGGUUUUCGGAUUGUAAACUCCUUUUGUUAGAGAAGAUAAUGACGGUAUCUAACGAAUAAGCACCGGCUAACUCAGUGCCAGCAGCCGCGGUAAUACGGCGGGUGCAAGCGUUACUCGGAAUCACUGGGCGUAAAGGGAGCGUAGGCGGGAUAGCAAGUCAGAUGUUAAAGCCUAUGGCUUAACCAUAGAACUGCAUUUGAAACUGUUAUUCUAGAGUAUGGGAGAGGUAGGUGGAAUUCUGGGGGUAGGGGUAAAAUCCAUAGAGAUCACGAGGAAUACGCAUUGCGAAGGCGACCUGCUAGAACAUAACUGACGUUGAUGCGCGAAAGCGUGGGGAGCAAACAGGAUUAGAUACCCUAGUAGUC